ACGAAGCGGUCCUUAAUACGACUGAGCUUCCACAUCAGACCACAGCUAUUCACAAAAAAAAUGCUGGCAAGAUGUAGGCAGUUCAGUUGUAUGCGGUGACCA
rnacentral:pre_miRNA from 13 species